rnacentral:rRNA from 1 species
GACGAACGCUGGCGGCGUGCUUAACACAUGCAAGUCGAGCGGAAAGGCCUCUUCGGGGGUACUCGAGCGGCGAACGGGUGAGUAACACGUGAGUAAUCUGCCCUUCACUCUGGGAUAGCCACCGGAAACGGUGAUUAAUACCGGAUACGACACGCGGCCGCAUGGUCUGUGUGUGGAAACUUUUUGGGUGGGGGAUGUGCUCGCGGCCUAUCAGCUUGUUGGUGGGGUAAUGGCCUACCAAGGCUUCGACGGGUAGCCGGCCUGAGAGGGUGACCGGACACACUGGGACUGAGACACGGCCCAGACUCCUACGGGAGGCAGCAGUGGGGAAUAUUGGACAAUGGGCGGAAGCCUGAUCCAGCAACGCCGCGUGAGGGAUGACGGCCUUCGGGUUGUAAACCUCUUUCAGCACCGACGAAGCGAUCCUUUGGGGAGUGACGGUAGGUGCAGAAGAAGGACCGGCCAACUACGUGCCAGCAGCCGCCGUAAAAC